rnacentral:rRNA from 1 species
CUUUAUUGGAGAGUUUGAUCCUGGCUCAGGAUGAACGCUGGCGGCGUGCCUAAUACAUGCAAGUCGAGCGAAUGGAUUAAGAGCUUGCUCUUAUGAAGUUAGCGGCGGACGGGUGAGUAACACGUGGGUAACCUACCCAUAAGACUGGGAUAACUCCGGGAAACCGGGGCUAAUACCGGAUAAUAUUUUGAACUGCAUAGUUCGAAAUUGAAAGGCGGCUUCGGCUGUCACUUAUGGAUGGACCCGCGUCGCAUUAGCUAGUUGGUGAGGUAACG